CCCUUAGAUGUUCUGGGCCGCACGCGCGCUACACUGACGAUGGCAACGAGUUUUUCCUUCGCCGAAAGGUGUGGGUAAUCUUUUGAAACAUCGUCGUGCUGGGGAUAGAUCAUUGCAAUUUUUGAUCUUGAACGAGGAAUUCCUAGUAAGCGCGAGUCAUCAGCUCGCGUUGAUUACGUCCCUGCCCUUUGUACACACCGCCCGUCGCUACUACCGAUUGAAUGGUUUAGUGAGGACUCCUGAUUGGCGCCGCCGCCCCGGCAACGGAGCAGCGGACUGCCGAAAAGUUGUUCAAACUUGAUCAUUUAGAGGAGUAAAAGUCGUAACA
rnacentral:rRNA from 1 species